rnacentral:rRNA from 1 species
GAGUUUUGAAUCCUGGCUCAGGACGAACGCUGGCGGCGUGCCUAAUACAUGCAAGUAGAACGCUGAAGACUUUAGCUUGCUAAAGUUGGAAGAGUUGCGAACGGGUGAGUAACGCGUAGGUAACCUGCCUACUAGCGGGGGAUAACUAUUGGAAACGAUAGCUAAUACCGCAUAACAGCAUUUAACCCAUGUUAGAUGCUUGAAAGGAGCAAUUGCUUCACUAGUAGAUGGACCUGCGUUGUAUUAGCUAGUUGGUGAGGUAACGGCUCACCAAGGCGACGAUACAUAGCCGACCUGAGAGGGUGAUCGGCCACACUGGGACUGAGACACGGCCCAAACUCCUACGGGAGGCAGCAGUAGGGAAUCUUC